rnacentral:rRNA from 1 species
UACGGAGGGUGCGAGCGUUGUCCGGAAUCACUGGGCGUAAAGGGCGCGUAGGCGGCUCAUGAAGGCUGUGGUGAAAGUCCGGGGCUCAACCUCGGAUCGGCCGUGGCGACUCGUGGGCUGGAGCACUGUAGAGGCGGGUGGAAUUCCUGGUGUAGCGGUGAAAUGCGCAGAUAUCAGGAGGAACACCGGUGGCGAAGGCGGUUCUCUGGGCAUUACCUGACGCUGAGGAGCGAAAGUGUGGGGAGCGAACAGG